GAACAGGAAGUGGGAGCCACAUACCCCGAGCUGGCGGCUUGAGCCUGUGGUAUCUAGGCUCACCUCACUGCGGUUGGUGGAGGUGAUGGAGGUUGCAGCUUGGCCAGCAUGGUAGAAAGGUGGCAGGGCACGUCUGGCUUUUACCACCCAGUUGCUUCGAGCCAGGAGAUGGAGGAGUCAUCUGUUGCACGCUGGAGGCUGGAGCCUGCAGAUGGCAUGGUUCUGUGGCUCACCUCGCUGCAGUUGGUGGCAGAGACAGAGACUGCAGCUUGACCAGAGUGGUGGAGUGAGUAUUGUCAUCUGCAUGAGCAAAUCUGGUUCAUCACAUCUUUGCAACAGGAAAAGGAAGGGAGGAUCAUGUGUAUAAUGUUUUAAGGCCAAGAUUCACAACAAGAACAAAGUCUUUAUUAACUUUUGCCUUCAAGAACCUGCAGUGUUGAGCCCUUUUUUAUUUCUGGUUGGAGUGCAGUGGCAUGAUCUUGACUCACUGCAACCUCCACCUCCCGGGUUCAAGCCAUUCUCUUCCCUCAGCCUCCUCAGUAGCUGGAUUACAGGUACCUCCCACCACACCCAGAUAUGUAUCUCAAGAGCACUCCACAACAAAGAUUCUGCCUGCAAUCCUCCACUUCAAGGUCUGUUCCAGGAAACCUGUGUAACACAGUUAUGCAUAGAGUGGUCUUAGGAAGCUGACUCUAACAUGAAAAUUUAGAGUUGGAUCUUUUGCUGACAUAUUGAAUAUUCAUAAGAGCAUAUGAUACAUUUGUCUAUCAUAAACAUGUCAUUUCAAAAAACCCUCAAAGUUGCCUUGUAGAACAUAAUUUUAAAACUAGUGUGUAGGAAUAUUUCAUAUCAGUUAUUCAGUCUUCUUAAUAUCUGAACCGAAAUUAAUCUUCCAUUCUGCUUUUAUUUAUAAAUAAUGAUUUAUUGUCAGAUUCAAUAAUUUAUAUUUUCAUUUAUUCUAAGGUAGGAAAUACCAGCAUAAAAAUAAAUUAUUUGAAACAAA
rnacentral:lncRNA from 1 species